rnacentral:rRNA from 1 species
UGAGGAAUAUUGGUCAAUGGACGAGAGUCUGAACCAGCCAAGUAGCGUGAAGGAUGAAGGUUCUAUGGAUUGUAAACUUCUUUUAUACGGGAAUAAAGUGAGGCACGUGUGCCUUUUUGUAUGUACCGUAUGAAUAAGGAUCGGCUAACUCCGUGCCAGCAGCCGCGGUAAUACGGAGGAUCCGAGCGUUAUCCGGAUUUAUUGGGUUUAAAGGGAGCGUAGAUGGGUUGUUAAGUCAGUUGUGAAAGUUUGCGGCUCAACCGUAAAAUUGCAAUUGAUACUGGCAGUCUUGAGUACAGUUGAGGUAGGCGGAAUUCGUGGUGUAGCGGUGAAAUGCUUAGAUAUCACGAAGAACUCCGAUUGCGAAGGCAGCUUACUAACCUGUAACUGACAUUGAUGCUCGAAAGUGUGGGUAUCAAACAGGAUUAGAUACCCUGGUAGUCCACACGGUAAACGAUGAAUACUCGCUGUAGGCGAUAUACAGUCUGCGGCCAAGCGAAAGCAUUAAGUAUUCCACCUGGGGAGUACGCCGGCAACGGUGAAACUCAAAGGAAUUGACGGGGGCCCGCACAAGCGGAGGAACAUGUGGUUUAAUUCGAUGAUACGCGAGGAACCUUACCCGGGCUUAAAUUGCAACCGAAUAUGGCGGAAACGCUAUAGCUAGCAAUAGCGGUUGUGAAGGUGCUGCAUGGUUGUCGUCAGCUCGUGCCGUGAGGUGUCGGCUUAAGUGCCAUAACGAGCGCAACCCUUGCCGAUAGUUACUAACAGGUUAUGCUGAGGACUCUGUCGGGACUGCCAUCGUAAGAUGUGAGGAAGGUGGGGAUGACGUCAAAUCAGCACGGCCCUUACGUCCGGGGCUACACACGUGUUACAAUGGGGGGUACAGAGGGCUGCUACCACGCAAGUGGAUGCCAAUCCCAAAAACCUCUCUCAGUUCGGAUUGAAGUCUGCAACCCGACUUCAUGAAGCUGGAUUCGCUAGUAAUCGCGCAUCAGCCACGGCGCGGUGAAUACGUUCCC